ensembl:lncRNA
UGAUUUCAAUAGCAAGAGCCACUGAGGACUUCAGAUACCCCAGCAAACAUGAGGUGAAUGCUAUGGCGAAGCGAUUGGUGGAGUACUACCCGAUGAUAACAGGAAGGUGUGGUGAAUGGGAGCACGUUGCUAAAAAGCUCAUGAAGAGACUCUCAAAUGUCAAAAGUCCAAGAAAGGCUAAGGGCCCUCCUUCCAAGAAGCCACGACAGGAUGGGGAUGCAGAUGCUGCAACAACUGACUACGAUGGAGAUUCCAGUGGAUCAACUAUUAUUUUAUCACCUGUUCGAGCCAGCACCCCAGUGGAACAACAGGGUAGCAGUGAUGAAGCAUCUCCUUCAACUGACUUCUACAGCAGCCAGAAAACCCAGGCAAGACACUACAAGACUCUCCAACAAUUGUACAAGACCAAGAAGCCGAACAAAGCUGCAGUGACCCAACUAAUGGACCUGGAGUUUCAGUCUAGAAGACUCUUCAUAGACUCCGAUGCUGUAAAGGAACAAGACAGACCAACAAAGAUUCUCGAAGCUUACCCAUGUUUCAGAGAAGUGGAUCAUGUUUUGGAUGAAUUGCGGAGAAUUAUUCAACCAUCCAAUUCCCGGUACAUCUCUGAGAUGAAGGAAAGAUGGGAAAACUUCUACUCAAAGGUGCAGUUCUAUGGUGUGAUGAAAAAACUCGUGAAGCCUCCAAACACAUUGAAUGGAGUGGAGCAUGCCACAGCUGUAUUCAGAGCCCUGCCACAGCUCUUCCCAUCCAGCACUGUGCCUCCUAAGAAGUUGGGUGCCAGCAGUGAGGCUCUUUUCCAUGUCCUUACGACUUCAGAAGACCCUGAUUGUUUCCUGCGCCAGCGACCUCUGUCUUGUCCAUUUGUGCUUGUCUCUGAAGACAACUGCAUGAUCGCCGUGGGAAGCACACCAGUGACUACGUUCGACCGGGAGGAUCUUUAUGAGGGACUGCUCUAUGUCAUGGCAUAUUAUUAUGCCCUCCACCUCACGUACCCAAAGUGUAUUUCCACACUACUGUCUGUACUGCAAACUGAAAUUCUUCAAGAUUCCAUCCAUGACCGAGAUUCAACCCCCUCCUACAAAAAAGCUCUUGCUGAGUGGAAGUCAUUCAUUGAGUGAGUUUGUCUUUUCUUGUUUUUUCCUUCUCUAUGCCAUGAAGGUG